AGGUCCUGCCUGCCCAGUGAAAACUCUUAAACGGCCGCGGUAUCCUAACCGUGCAAAGGUAGCGCAAUCACUUGCCCCUUAAUUAGCGGCUAGUAUGAACGGCUAAAUGAGGGCGUAACUGUCUCCUAAGACCAACCAAUGAAAUUGAUAGCUCAGUACAAACGCUGAGAUAUACACAUAAGACGAGAAGACCCUGUGGAACUUCAAUUUUUAAUGCUAGCAACCUUAAUAUAAACACCCUAGCAAAAAUUUUAGUUGGGGCAACUACGGAGUAAAAUCAAACCUCCACGACACACGACUAACCAUCGCGUCCCAGGCACACACGCCAAAAAGUACUAACUUGACCCAGUAAAACUGACCUACGAACCAAGCUACCCCAGGGAUAACAGCGCCAUCCCCUUCAAAAGUUCCUAUCGCCAAGGGGGUUUACGACCUCGAUGUUGGAUCAGGACAUCCAGG
rnacentral:rRNA from 1 species